rnacentral:rRNA from 1 species
UACAGAGGUCCCAAGCGUUGUUCGGAUUCACUGGGCGUAAAGGGUGCGUAGGCGGUCGCGUAAGUCUGAUGUGAAAGCUCGGAGCUUAACUCCGAAAUGGCGUCGGAUACUACUCGACUCGAGGAGUGGAGGGGAGACUGGAAUGCUCGGUGUAGCAGUGAAAUGCGUAGAUAUCGAGCGGAACACCAGUGGCGAAGGCGAGUCUCUGGACACUUCCUGACGCUGAGGCACGAAAGCCAGGGGAGCAAACGGG